rnacentral:pre_miRNA from 1 species
AUCACCUGGGAAUCUUGUUAAAAUGCAGAUUUUGAUUCAGUAUGUUUGCGGUAGAGUCCCAGAUUCUGCUUUUCUAACAAGUUCCCAGGCAAUGCCAA